GACGAACGCUGGCGGCGUGCUUAACACAUGCAAGUCGAGCGGAAAGGCCCUUCGGGGUACUCGAGCGGCGAACGGGUGAGUAACACGUGAGUAAUCUGCCCUUGGCUUUGGGAUAACUACCGGAAACGGUGGCUAAUACCGGAUACGACAACCGUCUGCAUGGGCUGGUUGUGGAAAGUUUUUUCGGCCAGGGAUGUGCUCGCGGCCUAUCAGCUUGUUGGUGGGGUAAUGGCCUACCAAGGCUUCGACGGGUAGCCGGCCUGAGAGGGUGACCGGCCACACUGGGACUGAGACACGGCCCAGACUCCUACGGGAGGCAGCAGUGGGGAAUAUUGGACAAUGGGCGGAAGCCUGCUCCAGCAACGCCGCGUGAGGGAUGACGGCCUUCGGGUUGUAAACCUCUUUCAGUACCGACGAAGCGCCGAUGAUGGUGGUGACGGUAGGUACAGAAGAAGCACCGGCCAACUACGUG
rnacentral:rRNA from 1 species